ACGGGAGGCAGCAGUGGGGAAUAUUGGACAAUGGGGGAAACCCUGAUCCAGCGACGCCGCGUGAGUGAAGAAGUAUUUCGGUAUGUAAAGCUCUAUCAGCAAGGAAGAAAAUGACGGUACUUGACUAAGAAGCUCCGGCUAAAUACGUGCCAGCAGCCGCGGUAAUACGUAUGGAGCAAGCGUUAUCCGGAUUUACUGGGUGUAAAGGGAGCGUAGACGGUUUGCCAAGUCUGAUGUGAAAGGUGGGGGCUCAACCCCCAAACUGCAUUGGAAACUGGUAGACUAGAGUGUCGGAGAGGUAAGUGGAAUUCCUAGUGUAGCGGUGAAAUGCGUAGAUAUUAGGAGGAACACCAGUGGCGAAGGCGGCUUACUGGACUGUAACUGACGUUGAGGCUCGAAAGCGUGGGGAGCAAACAGGAUUAGAUACCCUGGUA
rnacentral:rRNA from 1 species